GAUGAAGAACGCAGUGAAAUGCGAUAAGUAAUGUGAAUUGCAGAAUUCAGUGAAUCAUCGAAUCUUUGAACGCACAUUGCGCCCCUUGGUAUUCCGAGGGGCAUGCCUGUUCGAGCGUCAUUAUAACCCUUCAAGCUCAGCUUGGUGUUGGGGCCUGCUGUAACUGGUAGCCCUUAAAAUCAGUGGCAGUGCUAUUAGGCUCUAAGCGUAGUAAUUCUUCUCGCUAUAGUGUGUAGUGAGCGCUUGCCAGAACCCCAAACUUUUAUAUGAUUGACCUCGGAUCAGGUAGGGAUACCCGCUGAACUUAAGCAUAUCAAUAAGCGGAGG
rnacentral:misc_RNA from 1 species